GAGCUGACAGGAGGCGGGAGGCAACCACCUGACUGGAGUCACAGGACGCGGAAACCCUGCAAGUUAUAAAACUCCAGAAAGGGGCGGGGCGGGGCGGCUGCCAAGAUGGAGGCCGGGCAGCGGCAGGCCAAGCCCCGGGCGCAGCUCUUCCUCCUCCUCCUCCUCCUCCCCGGCCUCUCCGAGCCCGAAAAUACACACGGGAUAGGAGAGGAGGUCGGGAGGGAGACUCAGGCGUCCGAGGAUCGGCCUUUGCCCCUUCAGCAAAGGAAGAAAAGGAUGGCCCUGGUGGAAACCAUGAAGUCUGACGUACUCUACCUGGUUUGUUUGAACAGGACAGUGGAAGCUCAUGGACAAUGUACUACCUAGCUGAAAAUACCACAAUCAGCCACCUCAGAAGAAUUCUGCUGCAACGAGAGGAGGCUUUUCCACGUCACUGAACCUCUUUCUUCCAAUCCAUGUGGUGUGUAACUGACUUUUAAGCCUGGUGUGGUGUCAAAGGCAUUUUCCUAUUUUGCUGGUGUAAAACUGUCACAUUCCAUCACAUUUUUCUGCAGUUCUGGAAAGAGAUCCAAGGCAAUUGCCAUGUGGUGGUGGGUGCAUAAAUAUUAAAAUCUUUGUCACCUAUGCUUCAGGUGGUAUCCAAACUCCAUUUGCUCUGUGGACAACCCCAUCUUCAUGAGCUAAGGCACUCCACCUGGCCCAGUUUUUA